GACUGUAAGGUGUACAUGUCCAACUGGCAGGUGUCAUCUGACCUUGACCUCAUUUUCAUGGUUCAGUGGUUAUAGUUAAGUUUUUAUGUUUUGGUCUGUUUUUCUUAUACUAUAUGCAAUAGGUCUACUAUAUUUGGUGUAUGGAAUGAUUGUAAGGUGUACAUGUCUAGCUGACAGGUUUAAUCUUAACUUGACCUCAUUUUCAUGGUUCAGUGGUCAAAGUUAAGUUUUUGAGUUUUGGUCUAUUUUUCUAAUACGUUAUGCAUUAGGUCAACUAUAUUUGGUGUAUGGAAAUAUUUUAUGAUCUAUAUGUCUGUUAUGCAGGUUUUAUUUGACCUUGACCUCAUUUUCACAGUCCAUUGCUAAGUGUUAAGUGUUUGUGUUUUGGUCUGUUUUUCUUAAUUUAUAAGCAAUAAGUCAACUAUAUUUGUUGUAUUGAAGAAUUGUUAGCU
rnacentral:lncRNA from 1 species